GCACUUUUGAAUUUCAUAUGGGUUAACGUAACCAAAUUCAUUCGGUUAGUUUUUGAAGUACAUUAUCCAAUCAUGCUAGAGUAUGUACCUAUCUGAGAGUCACUAGUUUGUCAUUCAUUAUUUCAUUUUGCUACCAAUUAAUGUGAGAACACAUGCCAUUAUAUACAUUUGUAGGUACCCAAAGUACAUUGUGCAUGCCAUGUGCUCUGGAGCAUCAGUUUAUUUUCAUUCCAGGAUUUAGAAAGUAUAAAGAUGUUUUUUUGCACUGGGAACAGAGUUACGGUAUUCCUGUUGCUAAAGGAAGGAUUUAUAACAAUGAAUUGGAACAUUUUAGAAGCUACGUAUGUCGUGUGUUAUGGAAGUAUGAAAAAUCGCCCCUUUGCACUCCUUGAUCUAAAAAGCAUAAAAGUCACUCUCUCCCAUUAAAUAAAUAAGUAGGAUGUUGCUGCUACUGAAGAAAGAAUAUAUGACAAUGAAUUGAUUGGCCAACAAAAAUGAGAGAGAAUUGAAGUUAGUUGUGAUGCUCCUGAAUCAACCAAUAGUGCCGUUUUUCCUGGACUUGAUUAUUGAGUUCCUGCUGACGACUUCCCCAUUCAACGUCAUGUUUGAACCCCACUGACCGACAAAUUAUUUGCAAUGGUAUCGUUCGUCAUAGAUUUGGUUUGCUUUUUACACCUCUAAACUUUGGAAUGUUACAUUCUGCAGUGUAUUAAGGUGAGAAAAAUACAUGGCCUAAUUAUUCAUUGUUUCUUACAAAUCUGUUACCACCCUAUCUGUUUCAAGUUUCCUCGCGCGUGUUUGGAAGAAGGUUUAUUCACCUGUUUUAGAUUCAAUUUAUCAAAUUCAUUAAUCUUAUAGAAUAUAUUUUAUUUAAUAACCAAUAAUCAGUUUGAGUUUGCACUUCUGCAUUAUAUGUGGAUUAGGGUAACUAAAUUCAGUCGGUUAGUUUUUGAAGUGCAUUAUCCAAUCAUGAUAAAGUAUGUAGAUAUAAAAACGACUGGUAGUAUUUUAGUUGGUCACUGGUCAAUUUAUCAUUUCAGGAAUGUCAAAAGCAAUACAGCAGAAUGAAAGUAGAACUACUUUACGUAUAUUAUAUUUCCUUUUACUAGCAUCUAAAUUUACAGCAAAAUGGUACCACCUCAAUAAUGUAUUGAUUUAUGUGCGUUUUUAUUUAAUUUCAAAUCUUAUUUAUUAUGUAUUAAUUCGUUUCCUUGUCCUUUUGCACAGAUUGACUAACAAAUGAGAGAGAAUUGAAUUUAAUUUUGAUCCUCCUGAAGCAACCGAUGCUGUCGUUAUUCCUGGACUUGAUUCUUGAAUUGCUGCUGACGUCUUCACCAUUCAACGUUAUCUUCGAACCCGACUGAACAACAAACUAUCUGCAAUAGUAUCGUUCGUCACAGAUUUGGUUUGCUUUUCACACCUCUAAACUUUGGAAUGUUACAGUUAAUUAAGGUGAGAAAAAUACAU